GCCCCCGUAGCCCAAUCGGCAGAGGCAAACGACUUAAAAUCGUUCAAGUCUGGGUUCAAAUCCCAGUGGGGGCACCA
rnacentral:tRNA from 1 species